rnacentral:lncRNA from 1 species
GUGCAAUAGAUAGUUAAUAUAGUCCCAGAGAUGUUGUAACAAUAUGACUAUAAUCAUCCUGUGUGUGCCCAGGCUUAAUGGUUUGAGGCCGUGUGAGGUGGGGCAGGGGACACAAGCCUAAAAUGCCAGACCUCCAGAGGCCGGUUUGGUUUGGCAGACAUUGUUUAUUAAAAGAUUCUCCCGUGCCAAGUCCAAGCCUAAAAUGAGUAAGACAGCUGCAUACCCUCCGGUGGCUGGGGAUGGCCCACAAAGUGUGGUGGAUACAAAUAGACUUUCAUAUCAUUCUUUCAUGUAUUUAUACAACAAAUAUCUAUUUUGAACCUACUAUGUGCAGAGUACUGGGAUAGGUCUUGGAGACAUAGAAUAAUAAAGCAAAGACCCCACCCCAAGAACCCCCUUCCAUUGUCUCCAAUACAAUUGUGAGUGGUCUAAAGAGGUGUUCCAGAAGCGUGAGGGGGGGUGGACGGAAGGGACAACUGUUUUGAUCAGUUACAUACUAUUAAUAAUUAUAACCACCAAAUCCAAGAAAACAGUAACACUUAGAGCCUAUAGGGAAUAAGAAAAAUAUUAAGUAUAAAUUUACAAAGAUACCCACCAGAAAGGCUAAAAUGAAAGUGUCUGACAAGAUCAAGUGUUGACGAAAAUAUAAAGCAACUGAAACUCUCAAACUCUGGGGGAAAUGUAAGUUGGUAAAACCCUGUUGUAAAAUUGGCGGUAUCUACUAAAGCUGAGCGCAUGCCAACCUAAGACCCAGCAGUUCCACCCCUGGAUACAUACACAACAGAAACAAGAGCUUAUGUCUACCAAGACAUGUGCAAGAAUGUUCCUCACUGCGCUCUUCAUACUUGCCCCAAACUGGAAUCCACCUAAAUGUCUCUCCACGGUAGAAUGGAUAUAUAAGUUGUGGUGUAGUCACACAGUAGAAUACUAGUAUACAGCAAUGAGUAUGAAUGAAAAUAUUGCUACACGUAACAAUGGAUAAAUCUCACAGGCACGAUGUUGAGCAAAAGAAGACAGUACACACAAAAGUGCUCGCUGGAUGGUUCUACUUGUAGAAAAAUAGAGAAAUAAGCAAAAUUGAUCUAUGGUGUUGGGAGUCAGCAUGGUUACUUUGGGAGGGAUAGAGCCAGGAAUGGGUGUUCUGGGGCGUGGCUCUACCUCCUGGUUUGGGUGUUGGUUUCAUGAGUAUUUCAGUUUGUAUUCAGACUUCCUGCUGGAGAUGUGGAAAUAAACCAAGAUCAUCCAAAUGAGAACAAGCAGAGGCUGUUCAUUCAGAGCUUGCAAGGGAGUCAGCCACCAUCACUUGCGUUUGGCAGGGAGGGACUCAAAGCAGGCAGGGAGUGGGAAAACUUUACGGUGAAAAAAGGAAGGGAGGUUCUUUGCCUGGGAUGCCGGAGGGGGCCUGACCAGAAGGGGGGCAUCUUCCGUGAUUGGUUGGAAGCAUAUUUGGCUUUCUCUGGUUGAUCCUGAGUUGGAGAGAGGGCAGAGUGGUUGGGGAUUGGGAAGAAGCUGGCACACCAAGUCCUGAUCAUGCUGGGCCCAUUGCUGCAGAGGUGGUGGUUUGGCUUUCCAGGCUGGUUACUGCAGAGAGUUCUAUUGUCAUAUAUGGUCUGGCCACUGUCAUUCGUAUAUUCAGUCUCUAGGAGGGAAGCGUAUGGGCCUCCACUGCUGGAAUGGGCUGGGGGUGGGCACAUACACAGUUCUUCCACAUCUCAUCCCUCCCUGGGGUCAGUGGUGCCCCCCAUUCCCCCAACGUGAGGCCAGUGGCUAGAAGGCUCUGCUCCCAGUAUUGCUUAGCUAUCACACCCACCAAGGUUCUUUUUUUCUUUAAGGCCUGGCUUAAAGCCCAGCUCCUGUUCCAAGUCUUCUUUGAUUGGACCCCUCUCACUUAUUAGCCUUCCUAAAUUCCCAUGGCUUACCUCAGCCUCUGCUGUGUAAAUUCCCAUCUCCUUCCUUGCAUUUGAAAAACCUACACUGAAUAUUUUCCUUCCACUUACUCAGUGCCGUUUCUAUAAAAGCAACAGCAACAAAACAAAAAAUAACAUGCC